rnacentral:misc_RNA from 1 species
AUGAGUGGUUUUUGGUUUGUUACGGGUGGUUGGCUCUCUGCUUACGCAACAACUUCCACCUGGCAUACCUCUUCGGUUGUGCUUCAAGGGUUGUAUUCCCCUUGAGCCUUUUGUGGGUUUCAUGUGUUGCUUACCUAAUCGACGGUAUUUUUUGGAUCGAUCAACGUCCCUUUUUCGUCUUGUGUUGCACUUGUUGGAUGAGACGAACCUUGAAGUUGUCUCUAUGACCCAUCAUGAUGAUGCACAUGUGUUGAUUUUGUGGGUCAUUGAGUAUUGCUUGGUCUCUUGGAUACGGAAUGUCAUGUGGGUACGGGGUCUCUACCGAUCCUUGUUUUGCCCUUGUCAAGCGUUCUCGCUUCUCUAAAACGACAGACUCUUGUGUGUUGGCUAGCCUGUGCACGCUUGUCUACGUCGAAGAGGAAUGC